CCGUUUACUGCCUUGAAAUGAAAUUUGUAAGGGAUGUAAUCUACUUGCACAUGUAUUUUAAAAAUUCAUCUAGAGCCCCAACUUUGAUGUAAAAGAAAAAUACAAUUAGAAAAGAAGUUUAUAAUAUAAUAAUACAUGUUUCAGGACAUGAAGACUCGGCAUGACAGAAUUAAGUGAUUGGUCACUGCACCUCUAUGGAAAAUUGUCAGAAAUGUGAGAGCUGCAAAUGUAGCCCACCAAAGGCCAUUAGCAUGUUCUGUGGGUGGCUCAAAUACACAGAGGGAUGCUGCUGUUGGUAAUGCAAUUUUCCAGUAAGGUAACGAACAGAUAAUAAACUAUCUGACUGAGGAGCAGCAAGGGUCUGGAGCUACUGCGAUUGGGUGACCUGGGUAGAGCCCCUCCUGGAGAUGUCACUCUGACUAGAACUGGAAGGACAAACCCACUGCAGAAGAAACUUCAGGAGUGAUGCUAACUCAUCUGUGCCACUUAAUGCCAAAGUAACAAAGCCCCCAUCCACUGAGGAUGGAGAGAGCAGAUUGUGUGGACAGGCAGGGGUUUCUGUCGCAUAGAAAGCACCUUAUACAAUGUCUGACACACGGCGAGUGACCAAAACGUGCCAGGCUGGUCCAUCCAGUGCCCUCCAAACACCGUGCUCACUUGCAUCUGUGGGAUUUUGCUGGUGAUCCUUCCCUAUUUAUCUGAGAUAAAGAAAUUGAAGAACCAGGAAGUGAGGGCACAUUGCCACAUCAUACAGUGGGCAAAUGCUGGAACAAG